rnacentral:rRNA from 1 species
CCUACGGGGGGCUGCAGUCGAGAAUCAUUCACAAUGGGGGAAACCCUGAUGGUGCGACGCCGCGUGGGGGAAUGAAGGUCUUCGGAUUGUAAACCCCUGUCAUGUGGGAGCAAAUUAAAAAGAUAGUACCACAAGAGGAAGAGACGGCUAACUCUGUGCCAGCAGCCGCGGUAAUACAGAGGUCUCAAGCGUUGUUCGGAAUCACUGGGCGUAAAGCGUGCGUAGGCUGUUUCGUAAGUCGUGUGUGAAAGGCGCGGGCUCAACCCGCGGACGGCACAUGAUACUGCGAGACUAGAGUAAGGGAGGGGGAACCGGAAUUCUCGGUGUAGCAGUGAAAUGCGUAGAUAUAGAGAGGAACACUCGUGGCGAAGGCGGGUUCCUGGACAUUAACUGACGCUGAGGCACGAAGGCCAGGGGAGCGAAAGGGAUUAGAUACCCCUGUAGUC